GUUCAAACAACUAAGAAGAAAAGUCAUUUUUCCAGAAUUUUUGAGGCAGGAUGGGGUUGGCUAUAAUGUCAAUAAAUGUGUGUAUUGUAAACAAUGUUCUAUAUUCUUAAUCAGUGAGGAACCUACUGCCAGGUUACUGAAGUUAGUCUAAUGUCUAUACUAACCUCCAUAACCUGUUUAUACAUAAGAGAUAGUAAACCAUGUUAUAUGAGUGUUGUUUUACUUAGAACAAGUGUUGUGUGGUUAUAUAUCAGUGUAGAACAUACUGCCAGGUUACUGAAGUUAGUCUUGUGUCUGUACUAACCCCCAUAACCUGUUUAUACAUGAGAGAUAGUCAACCAUGUUAUAUGAGUGUUGUUUUACUAAGAACAAGUGUUGUGUGGUUAUAUAUCAGUGUAGAACAUACUGCCAGGUUACUGAAGUUAGUCUAAUGUCUAUACUAACCUCCAUAACCUGUGUAUACAUGAGAGAUAGUCAACCAUGUUAUAUGAGUGUUGUUUUACUGAGAACAAGUGUUGUACAGUUAUAUAUCAGUGAAGAACCUACUGCCAGGUUACUGAAGUUAGUCUAAUGUCUAUACUAACCUCCAUAACCUGUUUAUACAUGAGAGAUAGUCAACCAUGUUGUAUGAGUUUUGUUUUACUGAGAACAAGUGUUUUGUGGUUAUAUAUGAGUGUAGAACCUACUGCCAGGUUACUGAAGUUAGUCUAAUGUCUAUACUAACCUCCAUAACCUUUUUAUACAUAAGAGAUAGUAAACCAUGUUAUAUGAGUGUUGUUCUACCUAGAACAAGUGUUCUAUGGUUAUAUAUCAGUGAAGAACCUACUGCGAGGUUACUGAAGUUAGUCUUAUGUCUGUACUAACCCCAUAACCUGUUUAUACAUGAGAGACAGUCAACCAUGUUAUAUGAGUUUUUUUGUAACUGGGAACAAGUGUUUUAUGGUUAUAUAUCAGUAGAGAACCUACUGCCAGGUUACUGAAGUUAGUUUAAUGUCUAUACUAACCUCCAUAACCUGUUUAUACAUGAGAGAUAGUCAACCAUGUUAUAUGAGUUUUGUUUUACUUAAAACAAGAGUUGUGUGGUUACAUAUCAGUGGAGAACCUACUGCCAGGUUACUGAAGUUAGUCUAAUGUCUAUACUAAUCUCCAUAACCUGUGUAUGCAUGAGAGAUAGUCAACCAUGUUAUAUGAGUGUUCUUUUACUUAGAACAAGUGUUGUACAGUUAUAUAUCAGUGAAGAACCUACUGCCAGGUUACUGAAGUUAGUCUAAUGUCUAUACUAACCUAUAUAACCUGUUUAUACAUGAGAGAUAGUCAAUCAUGUUAUAUGAGUGUUGUUUUACUGAGAACAAAUAUUGUAUUGUUAUUAUAUCAGUGUUGAACUUACUGUCUAUAGUAGUACCUCCAUAACCUUUUUUAACAUUUGGGAUAGCAGAUCGUUAGUAUGUUGCUGACUGUCAAUUUUAUAACAUGUAUUCAUUUAUUAAGAAUUUUGCAUCUAUUUCUGAUGAUUCUUUGCUUUUGAUUUAAACAAAUAUACAAAUGAUACAUGA